rnacentral:tRNA from 1 species
GACCCUGCAGCGCAAUGAAUAGCGCGUUGAACUUUUAAUCCAAAGUUCGUGCGUUCGAAUCCCACCUGGGAUGGCU